UACGUAGGUGGCAAGCGUUGUCCGGAUUUACUGGGCGUAAAGAGCGCGCAGGCGGUCGUUCAAGUCGCGUGUGAAAGCCCCCGGCUCAACUGGGGAGGGUCACGCGAUACUGAUCGACUCGAAGGCAGGAGAGGGUAGUGGAAUUCCCGGUGUAGUGGUGAAAUGCGUAGAUAUUGGGAAGAACACCCGUGGCGAAGGCGGCCAUCUGGACCGGUACUGACGCUAAGGCGCGACAGCGUGGGGAGCAAACAGG
rnacentral:rRNA from 1 species